UCCUUAGGGUGAAGAUAGUACAGGACAGUGGCGGAUGGGUGAGUAACGCGUAAGAAACCUGCCUUUCACACCGGGAUAGCAGCUGGAAACGGCUAUUAAUACCGGAUGACACUUUUUCCCCGCAUGAGGAAGAGGUUAAAGAAUUUCGGUGAAAGAUGGUCUUGCGUCUGAUUAGCUAGUUGGUGGGGUAACGGCCUACCAAGGCGACGAUCAGUAGCCGGCCUGAGAGGGUGUACGGCCACAUUGGGACUGAGACACGGCCCAAACUCCUACGGGAGGCAGCAGUGGGGAAUUUUGCACAAUGGAGGAAACUCUGAUGCAGCGACGCCGCGUGAACGAAGAAGGUCUUCGGAUUGUAAAGUUCUGUCCUGGGUGAAGAUAAUGACGGUAACUCAGGAGGAAGCCCCGGCUAACUACGUGCCAGCAGCCGCGGUAAUACGUAGGGGGCGAGCGUUGUUCGGAAUUAUUGGGCGUAAAGGGUACGUAGGCGGUUUGUUAAGUUUGGCGUUAAAUCACGGGGCUCAACCCCGUUCAGCGUUGAAAACUGGCAAACUUGAGUAGUAGAGGGGACAGUGGAAUUCCUAGUGUAGCGGUGAAAUGCGUAGAGAUUAGGAAGAAUACCGGUGGCGAAGGCGACUGUCUGGAUACAUACUGACGCUCAGGUACGAAAGCGUGGGGAGCAAACAGGAUUAGAUGCCCUGGUAGUCCACGCCCUAAACGAUGAGUGCUAGGUGU
rnacentral:rRNA from 2 species